rnacentral:rRNA from 1 species
UGAGGGAAUAUUGGGUCAAUGGGCGAGAGCCUGAACCAGCCAAGUCGCGUGAGGGAGGAAGGUCCUACGGAUUGUAAACCUCUUUUGCCGGGGAGCAAAGGGGCCAUUGAUGGCAGGAUGAGCGUACCCGGAGAAAAAGCAUCGGCUAACUACGUGCCAGCAGCCGCGGUAAUACGUAGGUGGCAAGCGUUGUCCGGAAUUACUGGGUGUAAAGGGUGCGCAGGCGGGACUGCAAGUUGGAUGUGAAAUACCGGGGCUCAACCCCGGGGCUGCAUCCAAAACUGUGGUUCUUGAGUGAAGUAGAGGUAAGCGGAAUUCCGAGUGUAGCGGUGAAAUGCGUAGAUAUUCGGAGGAACACCAGUGGCGAAGGCGGCUUACUGGGCUUUAACUGACGCUGAGGCACGAAAGCAUGGGGAGCAAACAGGAUUAGAUACCCUGGUAGU